rnacentral:rRNA from 1 species
CCUACGGGUGGCAGCAGUGAGGAAUAUUGGACAAUGGGCUUACGCCUGAAGCAGCAAAGUCGCGUGAGGGAAGACUGCCCUAGGGGUUGUAAACCUCUUUUGACAGGGAGCAACGCCGGCUACGUGUAGCCGGACUGAGAGUACCUGAAGAAAAAGCAUCGGCUAACUCCGUGCCAGCAGCGGCGGUAAUACGGAGGAUGCGAGCGUUAUCCGGAUUUAGAGGGUAAAAAGGGUGCGUAGGCGGAAUGCCAAGUCAGAGGUAAACUGGUGGGGCUCAACCUCGCUACGCCGUUGAAACUGGCGUUCUUGAGUGGGCUAGAAGUAUGCGGAAUGCGUGGUGUAGCGGUGAAAUGCAUAGAUAUCACGCAGAACUCCGAUUGCGAAGGCAGCAUACCGGCGCCCAACUGACACUGAAGCACGAAAGCGUAGGUAUCGAACAGGAUUAGAUACCCGUGUAGUC